GAUGAACGCUGGCGGCGUGCCUAAUACAUGCAAGUCGAGCGAACAGACGAGGAGCUUGCUCCUUCGACGUUAGCGGCGGACGGGUGAGUAACACGUAGGUAACCUACCUAUAAGACUGGGAUAACUUCGGGAAACCGGAGCUAAUACCGGAUAAUAUUUCGAACCGCAUGGUUCGAUAGUGGAAGAUGGCUUUGCUAUCACUUAUAGAUGGACCUGCGCCGUAUUAGCUAGUUGGUAAGGUAACGGCUUACCAAGGCAACGAUACGUAGCCGACCUGAGAGGGUGAUCGGCCACACUGGAACUGAGACACGGUCCAGACUCCUACGGGAGGCAGCAGUAGGGAAUCUUCCGCAAUGGGCGAAAGCCUGACGGAGCAACGCCGCGUGAGUGAUGAAGGUCUUCGGAUCGUAAAACUCUGUUAUUAGGGAAGAACAAACGUGUAAGUAACUGUGCACGUCUUGACGGUACCUAAUCAGAAAGCCACGGCUAACUACGUG
rnacentral:rRNA from 1 species